AUGAUUACUCCUAGAAUUUUAGGGAAAUUGGAAGAUGACUCAGCUGGCUUUGAGGAAGGCAGAGAUCCAGAGCGCUUGGCUUUUUCCUCCAGGCUGCAUGGAUUUCCUGCUUCAUUCUGUGACUCACUAGGCUGGCUUUAUAAAACCUUAGGUGUACUGAUGCAACUGGGUCCAUUAACUGGGUCCCUCAGAGCAGUGCUGGAAUCGAAAAGCAACUACCAACCAAGAAGCCAGGAAAGUGAAUGCCAUGUUCAGAAGAAUGAUUGUCUAGAGCUGUUCAAAUCUGUGACUUUGCAGCUGUAAUCAAAACCAGCGGGAGAGUUUCUGACUUAUAUCCCUGGCAGAGAACUCGUGGAAUACAUAAUACAUACCCAGAAGAGUUAAGAGAAUUUCAAUAGUUUCUUAGGUAACAAUUUUCAUUCUCUGCUCUUAAGAUGUUUGAAAAAUGAAAGACUGUAACCCCAAAUCAAACAAUAAUUAAACAUCCGUCUCCAUUUUUAAAUGAGCUUUUUAACACCAACAUGUUCAUGAAUCUAAUGCUCCCAGAAAUGAGGGAUGAAUGCAACCUCCAAGAAUGAUGACGUCAGCCGGCACGUUUUUCGCUGGCAAUUGACCAUUUUAACCUUGAGCUGCAGCAUCUCAUUUCGGAUGUAUGAUUGUCCAGCAGAGAGAGUGUCCUAAGCAGGUUGGGCUUGGGCAAGUACCCAUGGGGAUUUGAAUGUGGCAUCCCGUUUGUUUUCACUCUCGCGAGAUUUGGCUUAGGUCUCCAGGCCAACCAUGAUUCUGCCAUGUUAUAGCUGUGGAGCCCAUUUCCUUUGGAGACUGAGAGUUAUGUGCACAUAAUUCUCCAGAGAGCAGAUU
rnacentral:lncRNA from 1 species